UGGGGAAUAUUGGACAAUGGGCGAAAGCCUGAUCCAGCCAUGCCGCGUGUGUGAAGAAGGUCUUCGGAUUGUAAAGCACUUUAAGUUGGGAGGAAGGGCAUUAACCUAAUACGUUAGUGUUUUGACGUUACCGACAGAAUAAGCACCGGCUAACUCUGUGCCAGCAGCAGCGGUAAUACAGAGGGUGCAAGCGUUAAUCGGAAUUACUGGGCGUAAAGCGCGCGUAGGUGGUUUGUUAAGUUGGAUGUGAAAUCCCCGGGCUCAACCUGGGAACUGCAUUCAAAACUGACUGACUAGAGUAUGGUAGAGGGUGGUGGAAUUUCCUGUGUAGCGGUGAAAUGCGUAGAUAUAGGAAGGAACACCAGUGGCGAAGGCGACCACCUGGACUAAUACUGACACUGAGGUGCGAAGGCGUGGGGAGCAAACA
rnacentral:rRNA from 1 species